GGUUAAGCGACUAAGCGUACACGGUGGAUGCCCUGGCAGUCAGAGGCGAUGAAGGACGUGCUAAUCUGCGAUAAGCGUCGGUAAGGUGAUAUGAACCGUUAUAACCGGCGAUUUCCGAAUGGGGAAACCCAGUGUGUUUCGACACACUAUCAUUAACUGAAUCCAUAGGUUAAUGAGGCGAACCGGGGGAACUGAAACAUCUAAGUACCCCGAGGAAAAGAAAUCAACCGAGAUUCCCCCAGUAGCGGCGAGCGAACGGGGAGCAGCCCAGAGCCUGAAUCAGUGUGUGUGUUAGUGGAAGCGUCUGGAAAGGCGCGCGAUACAGGGUGACAGCCCCGUACACAAAAAUGCACAUGCUGUGAGCUCGAUGAGUAGGGCGGGACACGUGGUAUCCUGUCUGAAUAUGGGGGGACCAUCCUCCAAGGCUAAAUACUCCUGACUGACCGAUAGUGAACCAGUACCGUGAGGGAAAGGCGAAAAGAACCCCGGCGAGGGGAGUGAAAAAGAACCUGAAACCGUGUACGUACAAGCAGUGGGAGCACAGAGCAAUCUGUGUGACUGCGUACCUUUUGUAUAAUGGGUCAGCGACUUAUAUUCUGUAGCAAGGUUAACCGAAUAGGGGAGCCGAAGGGAAACCGAGUCUUAACUGGGCGUUAAGUUGCAGGGUAUAGACCCGAAACCCGGUGAUCUAGCCAUGGGCAGGUUGAAGGUUGGGUAACACUAACUGGAGGACCGAACCGACUAAUGUUGAAAAAUUAGCGGAUGACUUGUGGCUGGGGGUGAAAGGCCAAUCAAACCGGGAGAUAGCUGGUUCUCCCCGAAAGCUAUUUAGGUAGCGCCUCGUGAAUUCAUCUCCGGGGGUAGAGCACUGUUUCGGCAAGGGGGUCAUCCCGACUUACCAACCCGAUGCAAACUGCGAAUACCGGAGAAUGUUAUCACGGGAGACACACGGCGGGUGCUAACGUCCGUCGUGAAGAGGGAAACAACCCAGACCGCCAGCUAAGGUCCCAAAGUCAUGGUUAAGUGGGAAACGAUGUGGGAAGGCCCAGACAGCCAGGAUGUUGGCUUAGAAGCAGCCAUCAUUUAAAGAAAGCGUAAUAGCUCACUGGUCGAGUCGGCCUGCGCGGAAGAUGUAACGGGGCUAAACCAUGCACCGAAGCUGCGGCAGCGACGCUUAUGCGUUGUUGGGUAGGGGAGCGUUCUGUAAGCCUGCGAAGGUGUGCUGUGAGGCAUGCUGGAGGUAUCAGAAGUGCGAAUGCUGACAUAAGUAACGAUAAAGCGGGUGAAAAGCCCGCUCGCCGGAAGACCAAGGGUUCCUGUCCAACGUUAAUCGGGGCAGGGUGAGUCGACCCCUAAGGCGAGGCCGAAAGGCGUAGUCGAUGGGAAACAGGUUAAUAUUCCUGUACUUGGUGUUACUGCGAAGGGGGGACGGAGAAGGCUAUGUUGGCCGGGCGACGGUUGUCCCGGUUUAAGCGUGUAGGCUGGUUUUCCAGGCAAAUCCGGAAAACUAAGGCUGAGGCGUGAUGACGAGGCACUACGGUGCUGAAGCAACAAAUGCCCUGCUUCCAGGAAAAGCCUCUAAGCAUCAGGUAACAUCAAAUCGUACCCCAAACCGACACAGGUGGUCAGGUAGAGAAUACCAAGGCGCUUGAGAGAACUCGGGUGAAGGAACUAGGCAAAAUGGUGCCGUAACUUCGGGAGAAGGCACGCUGAUAUGUAGGUGAAGUCCCUCGCGGAUGGAGCUGAAAUCAGUCGAAGAUACCAGCUGGCUGCAACUGUUUAUUAAAAACACAGCACUGUGCAAACACGAAAGUGGACGUAUACGGUGUGACGCCUGCCCGGUGCCGGAAGGUUAAUUGAUGGGGUCAGCGCAAGCGAAGCUCUUGAUCGAAGCCCCGGUAAACGGCGGCCGUAACUAUAACGGUCCUAAGGUAGCGAAAUUCCUUGUCGGGUAAGUUCCGACCUGCACGAAUGGCGUAAUGAUGGCCAGGCUGUCUCCACCCGAGACUCAGUGAAAUUGAACUCGCUGUGAAGAUGCAGUGUACCCGCGGCAAGACGGAAAGACCCCGUGAACCUUUACUAUAGCUUGACACUGAACAUUGAGCCUUGAUGUGUAGGAUAGGUGGGAGGCUUAGAAGUGUGGACGCCAGUCUGCAUGGAGCCGACCUUGAAAUACCACCCUUUAAUGUUUGAUGUUCUAACGUGGACCCGUGAUCCGGGUUGCGGACAGUGUCUGGUGGGUAGUUUGACUGGGGCGGUCUCCUCCUAAAGAGUAACGGAGGAGCACGAAGGUUGGCUAAUCCUGGUCGGACAUCAGGAGGUUAGUGCAAUGGCAUAAGCCAGCUUGACUGCGAGCGUGACGGCGCGAGCAGGUGCGAAAGCAGGUCAUAGUGAUCCGGUGGUUCUGAAUGGAAGGGCCAUCGCUCAACGGAUAAAAGGUACUCCGGGGAUAACAGGCUGAUACCGCCCAAGAGUUCAUAUCGACGGCGGUGUUUGGCACCUCGAUGUCGGCUCAUCACAUCCUGGGGCUGAAGUAGGUCCCAAGGGUAUGGCUGUUCGCCAUUUAAAGUGGUACGCGAGCUGGGUUUAGAACGUCGUGAGACAGUUCGGUCCCUAUCUGCCGUGGGCGCUGGAGAACUGAGGGGGGCUGCUCCUAGUACGAGAGGACCGGAGUGGACGCAUCACUGGUGUUCGGGUUGUCAUGCCAAUGGCACUGCCCGGUAGCUAAAUGCGGAAGAGAUAAGUGCUGAAAGCAUCUAAGCACGAAACUUGCCCCGAGAUGAGUUCUCCCUGACUCCUUGAGAGUCCUGAAGGAACGUUGAAGACGACGACGUUGAUAGGCCGGGUGUGUAAGCGCAGCGAUGCGUUGAGCUAACCGGUACUAAUGAACCGUGAGGCUUAACCUU
rnacentral:rRNA from 1 species